rnacentral:lncRNA from 1 species
CACUCUUGCUUUAUUCUAUCUUUUCCACCUUCUAUUCUUUGGCUCAAACUGACUUAAACAUCGGAGGAUCUUUAACCAGAGGAUCUCUAUCAAUUUUUGACUUAUUUUAUAGGUUUUAACGAAAGUCUUGCCAAAUUAGAUUUCUCUCGAUCUCCAGCUUGACGUCGUCCAAUCUCAUCAUCUCUCAUUUUGAGCCUCGCAGCAAUAGACUGAUGC